AUAUAUACGCACAAGUUUGGGUAUGACAUCACAGGGUCAUGCUUUGUGUCUGGGGAGCCAGGCCUCGGAGGCUUUAGCGGGCAGUCGAGCAAGGGGUUGCGUCCUAGAAGGGGGGCCUAUGACCGCUGUGACCAUGUAAGCAGAGUACAGACCGCUCUGUGUGAGACAAUUCUCAGAUUGCCUGCAAAGACUCACAGGGGUGGGGUCGGGGGUAACCAGGAGAGGGAGGAAAUUCAGGCCUCCGCUCCAAACCCGAUGACUUCUGAAGUUUCACAGCCCUCCCACGCCACUGAGCACUGUUGGCACUGCUGCCCACAAGGGAAGAGUGAUGAAAUGUGGGGAAACCAUGUGGCUUUGGUGUGCGACACUGUCUGGUCAGCUGACCUGCCGUUUCCUGUCGAACAGGAAGAGCAAAAUGAGCAGAGAUGAAAGUUCAAGGUAACACACAGCUGGCAGUUGUUAAGAUGCUGACUGCUGCAGCUUUGCCACCCAGAGGGAAGUGACCACUGCAACUACCGAGUACAGCGACAUAAAGUGCAUAUCAUCUAUAUAAACUGGCCUAUUGAAAACUAAUCACUGCAGUUCUGAGUUGACUGACUUACAUACCAAUCCAGUCAAAGGUCAGAACAGAGUCAAAGCAUAGAGGAAUCCCCCCCAGCAAAGCUAAAUAUUUAGCAUUUUAGCCUAGAUCAAAGAACUGAAGCAAGAGCCUGUGUUCUUGCACAACAUUACACUUACUUGCAUUCUGGAUACAUGCAGUAUAUUCUGUUGUUAACGUACCUCAUGUGGUUGAAGCCCCAUGUCAUUGAGAACACUCUGGAAGAAUGUUGGGGAUGGUUUUCCAAUAACCUCAGCCUUUAAAUCACAAGCAUACUGGGGGAACAAAACAAAAAUGAGUCAUUGUUCACAUGAGCAGAAGUGCUGUUAUCAAUUCUUAACAAUUCUAUCAAUGCAAAUGAUGAACCUACUGUACCUCCAGAGCUUUCAUGUAAACCCCGACAUCCAGUUUCAAGCCAUCUGUCUCCUUGUAGUAUCUCCUUAUGAAGAGAGCAAAACAUCCAAAACAUUUAUAUUUAUUUAUUUAUUAAAUAUUUCACGCUGUGCUUGUCACUUGGAAUAAGCAAUCCAGUACUACUGACUACUAACUUUUAAUAUCCUCUCACCCU